UACGUAGGGUCCGAGCGUUGUCCGGAAUUAUUGGGCGUAAAGGGCUCGUAGGCGGUUUGUCGCGUCGGGAGUGAAAACACGGGGCUUAACCCCGUGCCUGCUUCCGAUACGGGCAGACUAGAGGUAUGCAGGGGGAGAACGGAAUUCCUGGUGUAGCGGUGAAAUGCGCAGAUAUCAGGAGGAACACCGGUGGCGAAGGCGGCAUCCUGGACCGAGAUUGACGCUGAGGAGCGAAAGCUAGGGGAGCAAACGGG
rnacentral:rRNA from 1 species